CCGGCUAGCCGGCGCAGGAUCCACGAUCUUCAAGGAUGGCCAGGGGCUUCCAAGAUCCUAAACGCAGUUAACCACUCUGCGAGGUAGAAAACAGGCCCAGAGAAGUUCAAGAACUUGCUCUAGAAGAUUACUGAACGAGUAAACAGCAGAGGCCGGUCUAGAACCAGCCCCAUGUGCCCUUCUGAUAGCGCAGCAGCAGCACUUAACACCUAACCGGCUUGGCUAAAUUCUAUGUGAGAGGCACUGGUGCUGAGGGUAAAAAUAAAAACAAAACACCAUCCAGUCCAGAGGCAGCUUACAGCUCAAUAGAGAAGGGUGAAUUCAAAAUUCUUCUGGCAUUAUUAUUUGCCAAAGAAGAGUGAGGACAUGUGUCCCUCUUCUGCCAUACCGUGACCUGGACAGAAGAAAGUGAAUAAGGACAUUUUUCUCCCUGAAGCCUUCGGGAGCUUGGCCUGCAGAAGCCUCUUCUUGGUUAGGACUCAGAACCCUCUCAGAACAUUGUGACCUGCCAGAGCUGGCAUUGCACAGAGACCUCCCUGGGCAACCCUUGAUUCACCGUCCCAUAAAUGUCCAGAUGGAGGAAGUGGUCUGGGGAAG